CACACAAGUGGCCCCCAACACU
rnacentral:miRNA from 1 species